rnacentral:rRNA from 1 species
UUUAUUGGAGAGUUUGAUCCUGGCUCAGGAUGAACGCUGGCGGCGUGCCUAAUACAUGCAAGUCGAGCGAAUGGAUUAAGAGCUUGCUCUUAUGAAGUUAGCGGCGGACGGGUGAGUAACACGUGGGUAACCUGCCCAUAAGACUGGGAUAACUCCGGGAAACCGGGGCUAAUACCGGAUAACAUUUUGCACCGCAUGGUGCGAAAUUCAAAGGCGGCUUCGGCUGUCACUUAUGGAUGGACCCGCGUCGCAUUAGCUAGUUGGUGAGGUAACGGCUCACCAAGGCAACGAUGCGUAGCCGACCUGAGAGGGUGAUCGGCCACACUGGGACUGAGACACGGCCCAGACUCCUACGGGAGGCAGCAGUAGGGAAUCUUCCGCAAUGGACGAAAGUCUGACGGAGCAACGCCGCGUGAGUGAUGAAGGCUUUCGGGUCGUAAAACUCUGUUGUUAGGGAAGAACAAGUGCUAGUUGAAUAAGCUGGCACCUUGACGGUACCUAACCAGAAAGCCACGGCUAACUACGUGCCAGCAGCCGCGGUAAUACGUAGGUGGCAAGCGUUAUCCGGAAUUAUUGGGCGUAAAGCGCGCGCAGGUGGCUUCUUAAGUCAGAUGUGAAAGCCCACGGCUAAACCGUGGAGGGUCAUCCGAAACU